UACAAGUUUUUUAUUAACAUAUCAAAAUAUUUACACUUAUAUUAAGACUUUUUCGAUACAACAAUAAAUAUUUUAGUACGUAAUAAUAUUAAUGAUUAAUAUACUUAACUGUAGCUGCGAUUUGAAUACUUUAAUCAGAAUUUAUCGCGAUUUGUACAUAAUAUUUGUUUAUGUUCGAAUAUAAUAUUAAUACUUGGUAUAUAACUAGUAAUUGUAUUGAAAAAUUGAUAUUGUUAUGGUUCUUUAGUCUACUCACAACAAGGCAAAUUAUGGCAGUUGACUUUGCUACCCGUAAUUUGGUCACAUUACAUUUUUAUGACAACAUUAAAUGCUAUAUAACUGAGGAAUAAAUUUUAAUGUUCAACUAAUGUUAACAAUUUAGGUUACAUUAUAUACCUAACAUAUAAAUAUUUUGAACAUGUAAUUGUUGAGUCAUAGGCAGUGCUCAGACGGUCAAUAUUCGUGAUCUAUAUUUAUUGAUGUAAAACUCGAUAACAACUAAAAAUGCGGUGCUAAAUUAAAUAUUGAGAACGCACGAUAUUGAAUGCACCCAUAUAACAUUGCCUAUCAACUGGUUACAAAAAAAUAUAAACAAGUAAGUAUCUAAGCAAACUAACUGGUAUAAUCAAAAUUUAAAAAAAAAAAACCUCCAAAUUAACUUAAUUUCUUAUGGUUUGGCUCCACUGUAGGCAUUCGGCAAAUAGCCGGCGGCACUGGUAUCGUCCCGCACAUUCGCGCUAACCUGAUUGGUUGGCGUGAAUAUAUGUUUUUUAAAAUCCCGCGGGCAUUCUUUAUUUUUAAGAGAUAAGUAGGUAUAUCUAAUACACCACAAGAAGGCCUGCCUGUCACGCUUAAGUCGCAUCUGCACUAUGCCGGCGCGGCCGGCUGAUUUGCCAAACCUAUUUAAAAAUUCGCACUAUCCUGCAUAGUGUGGCCAGUUGAUUUGCCGAAUGCCGAACUAUAGUAAAAUUUGCCCGAACUGGUCUAGUCCGGUGGGAGGCUCCGGCCGUGGCAACUUACCACGCUACCGUCAAAGCCGUGCCGCUAAGGGAAAGGGGGUAUGGGCUUUCAUAAAAAACUGCCAUACCCCAUCCAGGUUAGCCCGCGCGGCAGUGACGUACGCGCGUCGCGGCUGGAGUGAAUAUCGUGCGUGGCGCUGUCGCGACGCGCAGUUCCGCUGCAGUGCAGUUGUGGUGCGUGGGCACCUUUAUCGUAAUUGACAGCCAAUCCUGCCCUUUGAUUGGUUGAUUCGCCGAUUACAUUUUUUCACAGCCAAUCAAGAGGCAGCAUUCGCUGCAGGUGUGGUUCCUACCAUUAACAGUUUUAUAUGUAGGUUAGUAUAAGUCGAAACUUAAUUAUAAUAAAAAAUACUUGUAUGAUAAGUAUAAAGUAAAUAAUACAUAGUUGACACUUGUUCUUAAAAUGACUAAAAACAAUAUCACACAAAACACUUUAUAAAGUCGUUUUAGAACAGAACAGUUUUAGAAACAGGAGCUUUGCUAGAACGAGAUCCAUAUAAAAUAUUAAACAGCAGCAUCUUGCUCGCCAAAAUAUAAUUUUUUUAUUUUUAUUUCUAAGGUUGAGAUUUAUAGUGCACUUUGACUUUGCACAGUUUAAACGAGACAGCAUUAUAUCGCUGGCAUAAAUCUGUCUCGUUUUAACUGAAACUUAAGUCUGAGCAAAGUCAAAGUACGGUCUAUAGAUCUCGGGUAAGAUUCCAUGUGCGUACUACGUACAUGCUCGAAGGUUCUAGGGUGUAACCACAUCCAUUCUAUCAACGUCGAUCGAUAGUAGAACGAAAUCAAAUCGGAUUCAUCUUUGAUCGACAAUUACAAAAAAAACUUAACUCUUAAGUUUCGCGUGGCGAUUUCCUUCGCCGAAAUUUCGCCAAUUGAUUUAUUAAAAAGUAUUCGUCGAUCAGUCAAGGAUGUGGAAAACCAGUCAAUGUCGAGCAAAAAAUACUUUUAAUGGUGAUAGUUAGUGAUGGAUAGCCUAAAUGACAAUCAUUUUCUGAAAGCAAGUCUGAACGUUUGUUUGAUAAUAAUUUUUCACAAGCAUCAUGACGAAAAAAGGAGAAUUACACACCAACAUAAAAAUUAAUUUACUAAAUCCCAUUAACUUGCAGUGGUAAAGUGUCCGACUCGCACUUGACCGGUUUUGCUUACAAUUUUGUCUAGUUUCAUACUAAUCUUCUACAUACAUAGCUACAUACAUAGCUGUUUCAUACAUUUGAUUUUAUACAGGUGUAAACAGAACGCUAGUAACGUAAAACUUAGCCUUAUUAUUAUACUACAUCAACACAAUCCUAUUCUAAUAAGUAAUAACCAUUUGCCUUAUCUUGUAGUUUUAGUGAUUUAGUAUUUUUCAAACCCGCAUUGUAUAACGUGCAAAACUCGGGCCAAUGUCCCACCUACAACGGUGCAUUGACUUCGAAUGACCUAUUUACGGAACGUUCGAUGACCUCUAGCGUCAGUCAGAUGUUUUAUUUGCAACAUAUUGUGAACUUUAAAAAAACAUAAUUUAAAAAAAAAUCGUAGUUUUUUCUAUGGUAUCUUAUCAGUAAUCAUCAGUACUAUCACCUGUUUUCGUUUUGGCUAGCGUUUUGGUUACACCUAUAUUUAAUGUUACACAGACAUUCAAUCACGCAUGCACGAGCAACGUGUAACAACGUGAAAGUUGUGCAAGCUAUCACAAAAUGAUUGUUCACACAAGUUUGUCAAACUUGCGGUGUAUAGUCACCAUUACAAGCAUUACUCAGGCUGAGAUCUAUAGACUUACGUACUUUGACUUUGCUUAGACUUAAGUUCGGUUAAAACGGGAUAGAUUGGUGUCAGAGGUAUAACGCUGUCUCGUUUUAACAGAGUCUUAAGUCUGAGCAAAGUCAAAGUACGCUCUAUAAAUCUCGGCCUUAGUGAUAACAUUCAAUUUAAUAAAAAUAAAGUAUCUUCGUUUAUCAACAGGUUACUAAAUUGGCUCUUAUGUCUGGUAUCGGGGAGCGAUUCCUGUUAGUGAGAUUUAAAAAUGUUCAUUAAAAUAUGGAUAGUUUUGUAAGUAAAGUUAUAGGAUGCAAUUAGACAGUGCAAAUCAAACUUCGUAAAAAUUAGAAACCAAAAUUAUAAGGUUUAAAAGAUUAAGGGCUGAUUUUUCAAUUGUCAAGUAAUUUGACGUUUUGACAGUAAAAUGUUACUU